rnacentral:rRNA from 1 species
UCGUCCCUAUGGGAGGCAGCAGUGGGGAAUAUUGGGCAAUGGGCGCAAGCCUGACCCAGCAAUGCCGCGUGAAGGAAGAAGGCCCUCGGGUUGUAAACUUCUUUUAUCAGGGACGAAGGAUGUGACGGUACCUGAUGAAUAAGCUCCGGCUAACUACGUGCCAGCAGCCGCGGUAAUACGUAGGGAGCAAGCGUUAUCCGGAUUUACUGGGUGUAAAGGGCGCGUAGGCGGGAUGGCAAGUCAGACGUGAAAUCCGGGGGCUCAACCCCUGAACUGCAUUUGAAACUGUCGUUCU